rnacentral:lncRNA from 1 species
CAAACGAUGACCUUGUGACGUUAGAUGGUGGAAUAUUUAUUACAAUCAAUUUGAUGUAAAAACAAAAUAUUAAUAUGUUGAUUCGAAUAAUAAUCACAUAACUAAUGAAGGGGAUUUGCUGGACGGAUAGAGCCUGGGAGUCGAAUUCUUUAUCCAUGAAGAAGAGGGUCCCAUCAUGUUAGAUUAGUAGAACAAAAAUUUUAUCAUUCUUUUAAGUUAUAAUUUUCAUAUUAUAAUUGCAUGAUUUGUUACGAGUGUUUUGACAUUUAUUUUAUUUAUCAAUUAUAAUGAAUUUUGAGGUACAAAAAAAAAAAAAAAAAAAAUGGAAAUGGUUUCGUUUUGCAUGGAGAGAAAAUGGCAACACACGUGUUCGUGUGUAAAAUUUUUCUCUUUCUAGGCUAGAAAAUCUCGAAUAGCACUCCAUUCCAAAUUCCAUUAUAAAUAAAGAUCGAAACUGUAGCUAAUGCAGAGUCUCUUAUGCCGGAGAGAGAGAGUAUUGGCCGUUGAAAGAUGUGUAUCAGGUACGUAUUUAAUUGCACAAGACACGUAGAUUUGUUGGGAAUUUGAAUUUGAAUUUUUCUUUUUUGCUAGGUUUUUUAAUCUGUAUUACCGGCAAUGUACAAUUUUUGUCGCUUGAUUUGUUCAAUCCGUUCGUAUUAUGCAUGGUUGAAUUUCGUUUUUGUUUUUCUGUUGGGUUUAAUCAGAUUUACGUGUCUCGUAAAAGAUCUGCUGCUUUGGUGUAUGUUAUUGGUAUAUCUAUUUAUUAUUGCAUGAAAUUGAAAUCUUUUGAUUAUUUCGGUUGUGUAUGUUUUCAAUUUGAUUAAUAUGUAAACAUUUGCUAUGGUUGAGUAUUGAGAAACUCGAAAAUCUGAUUGUACUGUGUUCAUUUUUAGGGGAAGUUUGUCCAGAUAUAAUAUCAGUUUGCAUUUUUUAUUCUUCUUCUCCAUUGAUUUUCUUCUUUAUUUCGUUUUUUCUUGAUACCUUGUAUUAUUAUUAUUUUUUUUUUGUUUCGCAUUAUCCAGAUAGUUUCUUUUUAUGUAUGACAUUCAAUUACUUGAUC